rnacentral:rRNA from 1 species
CCUACGGGAGGCAGCAGUGGGGAAUAUUGCACAAUGGGCGCAAGCCUGAUGCAGCAACGCCGCGUGAGGGACGACGGCCUUCGGGUUGUAAACCUCUUUUAGCAGGGAAGAAGCGAAAGUGACGGUACC